GAAAAAAAUGAAAAGUAUAAAAUGGGUAUAUGUUGUUGUAUUUCUGAGGACACUGAAAGGCGGUUCCGGCACGACGGAGCUGUGCUAUUAUAGCCAAUUUUUAAAACCGAUCAAGGAAAUUUGAUUGAAUUACACAGUAGAAAUGGAUUCCUAAAUGAAAUCACGUUCUCAUCUCAACCCUUCAAUUCUUCGUCUUCUUCGUUUUCGCUGUCAUAUAAUAUACAAAUUUCUCACCUACUUUUCCCUCCUUUCUUGUAUCUGUACUGUGUCUAUUGCAUAAAAAUAAAGCCCUAGAAAAACCUUCCCCAACUGCCACUGCCAUGGCCACCUACGUUUUGACACUAUAUUCCUUGCAUUGUUCCUCAGGCGAACUGGAAUUCCGAUUAUUCAGAGCUCCGUUUUCGCAUGAAUAAUUGGACCCACUUUUUCUAUUUUCCGAUUUUCUUGAGGAGCAGUCUUUUUGUGUUUCCCGCCCGUCGUUCAUAGAUAUGAUCGAUUCAACUAAUUUCCAUAUAUAUAUAUAUAUAUAUAUAUAUUUUGAUGAUUUGUGAUGCCGUAGAAUUAGGAAGGUUAGCUUUGGUUUUACGACUUGGAAGAUUUUGGUAUUAUUGAAGGAUUUUGAUUUACUGUUUCUUUUAGUUUUGCAUUGUUUGGAAAAUGACAUCUGAGUUUUGAUCAAUUGGAGAUGGAGAACAGCAGUGGAGUGGAUGAUCAGGGAUCAGGAUGGUUCGAAGUCAAAAAGGUGCUCUAAAAAUUUUACCGGCAUACUUGGAUAUGUGUUGGGCUCUUCUUUCCUUUUCGAGAAGCACAGGAGCAGUUCUAAGUUUUCCCUACAGAGUUGGGUUGGAGGAUUUACGGGAAAAAAUUCGUCUAAUUCUUUGCGCAGUCCAAAUCUUGUGAAUAAAAAUCCCCAAAAUGACAGGUCAAACUCAAAGUCUCAUCCUCCAACAUCAGGAGGAAGCUAUGCUGUAUAUACCCAAAGUAAUACCGAGAAUUCUAUUGCUACAUCAAUUGGAGGCAAUGGAGAUUCACAUUGCCCUGAUAAAUGCAUGGUCAGACAGGACACUGAAUUCCCCGAGUCAUCUGUUUUACACAUUGCAGAUUCUCAUGCUGGAAGUGGAGAGUGUGAGAAAGUCCCCCAUAAGGAUAUGCCUGGACUGGUUCAAAAGAUCAAAUGGGGUGAUCUAGAGGAUGAUAGUUUGGUAUUGAAUAACAGUGCUAAUGGAGUUGAAAUAAAGUUUGGUAAUAUUGGAGAGGUUGAUCUAGGUGUCUCUGAAAAAAAUGAGGUUAAGCACGACUUGGCUUCACUCGUCUCUUCGUCCAUAGAUACCCAAGCAAACAAAUUGGUGGCAGCAUCAGUCAGAGAAGAGGAGGCCUCUCAUCAGACUCUUUUAUCAACUAAUGAGGAAAAAUUAUGCCAAGUUAGCCAUCAAGAUAUAAAUAGGGAAUUCAUAGAAGAUUUGGAAGUAUUAAGUAAUAGUGAAGCAACAGUCUGUCCGGUUACUGAUGGCUCAAAUUUCAAGGGUAUAGGAACUGAACACACCAAACCUGUAGAUGAUCACAGUUCAAAUUUUAAUUCUCUCUCUUGUGAGGAAAUUGUAACUGAGCCAAAAGUCCUGAAAGCUAUCAAGUUACCUGAGGUAGAAAAUCCAGUGCUCCAUGAAGCAGCAGGUAAGACUGAGAUUUGUAGCUUGUCAUUGCCUGUUCAGAAUGCUGAGUCAGUUCCAACUGAAACUAGUAGACGUGAAAAUUCAGGGGGUUCCUUUGAUUUGGUUGAAGAACCCCAAAUUGAACAAGGGAGUGGAACUCAUAAUGUGCAAGUUGCGAGUGUCCCCAGUGAAGGUGAGACAGGGGAGAGUAAAGAAAGGUUUAGGCAGCGGCUCUGGUGCUUCCUUUUUGAGAAUCUUAAUCGAGCUGUAGAUGAACUUUAUCUCCUUUGUGAGCUGGAAUGUGACUUGGAACAGAUGAAAGAAGCCAUUCUUGUUCUUGAAGAGGCUGCAUCUGACUUUAAAGAGCUAAAUGCUAGGGUUGAGGAGUUUGAAGAGGUAAAGAGGUUGUCUUCUCAGUCUGUUGAUGGGAUGCCAAUCACUAUGAAGAGUGACCAUUGUAGGCCACAUGCUCUCUCUUGGGAGGUUCGGCGGAUGACAAAUUCUCCUCAUAAAGCAGAGAUUUUAUCGUCAUCACUUGAGGCAUUUAAGAAAAUUCGGCAAGAGAGAGCCAACAUGCUUGAGGCAAGCAAAAAACUCCCUGGGAAUGAGUGUCUAAGUCCUCAGUGUAUGGAUCAAAUGAAGAAAACAUCUACAAUAAAUUGUGUAGUGCAUGAAGCCGCAGAUUCAGCAUCAAAGACAGCAGAAAACAAAGGUGUAGAUCUCACUCCAGGGAGUCUUAGUGGAAAAGAAAAGAAUACUGAGUCUCUUGGUACCGAUAAGGUUAAUGUUGUGCAAAAUAUACGUUCACGCCCACAGAAUUCCUUGUCUUUUAUAAAUUCAUCCAAGCCACCUCUAGCUGUAAAAUUUAAGCGCGACCAGCUUGAAUCUGAUGUAGAAAGGUUAGUUUCUAGAAGAGAAAGGGCUCUAGCCGAAGGCACAUGUGAGAAAAUUCAGAAACCUAUAGAACAUUCCAAAAGACAAGCAACUGUUUCUGAAAAAGACAAGGAAAAAGAGAAGAGGAAUAUGGGUGCUCGGAAAUCCAUGGAUGCAUGGAAAGAAAAGAGGAAUUGGGAAGACAUACUUUCAUCAUCUGUUCGGAUUAGUUCUCGAGUUUCACAUUUGCCAGGCAUGAGCAGGAAAAGUGCUGAGCGUGUACGUGUGCUACAUGAUAAACUGAUGUCCCCAGACAAGAAGAAGAAAACUUCUUUAGAUGUGAAAAGAGAGGCAGAAGAAAAGCAUGCUCGUGCAAUGAAAAUUAGAAGUGAACUAGAGAAUGAAAGGGUUCAGAAACUGCAGCGUACCUCGGAGAAAUUAAAUCGUGUUAAUGAAUGGCAGGCUGUACGCACUAUGAAAUUACGGGAGGGAAUGUAUGCUCGCCACCAGCGCAGUGAAUCUCGACAUGAAGCUUUCCUAGCUCAAGUUGUGAAGAGAGCUGGUGAUGAAAGUAGUAAGGUGAAUGAGGUUCGUUUCAUCACCUCCUUAAAUGAAGAAAAUAAAAAGAUUAUGCUGCGGCAGAAGCUUCACGGUUCUGAGUUAAGGAGAGCUGAAAAACUUCAGGUAAUGAAAAUUAAACAAAAGGAAGACAUGGCUAGAGAAGAAGCAGUGUUAGAACGGAAGAAAUUGAUCGAAGCCGAAAAAUUGCAGCGUCUUGCUGAAACACAGAGGAAAAAGGAAGAGGCUCAUGUUCGAAGGGAAGAAGAGCGGAAAGCAUCUAGUGCAGCAAGGGAGGCGAGGGCCAUGGAACAACUUCGUAGGAAAGAGGAAAGAGCAAGAGCCCAGCAAGAAGAAGCUGAACUUAUGGCCCAGAAAUUGGCCGAGCGACUCAGUGAAAGUGAACAACGACGAAAGUUUUAUUUGGAGCAAAUACGGGAGAGGGCUUCUAUGGAUUUUAGGGACCAAUCUUCACCCUUGCUGCGACGAUAUAUGCAUAAGGAUGGUCCAAGUAAAUCAACACCUAAUAAUAAUGGUGAUGAGCAGGGGCCAAGUAGCUCUGACUUGGGUUCUGGUCUUGCAUUGGGUAAGACAACAAUGCAACAACACAUGAAACGAAGGAUCAAAAGAAUUCGACAGAGGCUUAUGGCUCUGAAAUACGAAUUUGUUGAGCCCGUUAAUGGAGCUGAAAAUGUUGGCAUUGGAUAUAGAACAUCCAUAGGAACUGCAAGGGCAAAAAUAGGUAGGUGGCUUCAAGAACUUCAGAAACUUCGCCAAGCAAGAAAAGAAGGGGCUGCAAGUUUAGGGUUGAUAAUUGCUGAAAUGAUCAAGUACUUGGAUGGAAGGGAACUUGAGCUGCAAGCUUCUCGCCAAGCUGGCUUACUUGAUUUUAUUGCUUCUGCCCUUCCUGCUUCUCACACAUCUAAACCAGAAGCAUGUCAAGUGAUGAUACACCUAUUAAAAUUGCUAAGGGUAGUAUUAUCUGCAUCAGCAAACAGAAGUUACUUUCUUGCGCAGAAUCUCUUGCCACCAAUCAUCCCAAUGCUUUCAACAGCCCUUGAAAACUACAUUAAGAUUGCAGCUUCUAUUAAUGCUCCUGGUAAUGGGGUUCCAUCAAGCAGAACGUCUAUUGAAAAUUUUGAAUCGAGCUCUGAAGUACUGGAUGGGUCUUUGUGGACUAUCACAACAAUAAUUGGUCAUAUAAACUCUGAAGGACCACAACUCCAAAUGUGGGAUGGUUUGCUAGAACUAUUGGUUGCCUACCAGGUUAUUCAACGUCUUCGGGAUCUUUUUGCACUUUAUGAUAGACCUCAGGUGGAAGGGUCCCCAUUUCCUUCUUCGAUUCUCUUAAGUAUACGUCUUCUGGUGGUUUUAACAUCAAGACCUGGAACUGAUAGUACCAUUAGUUGUGUAUUACCAUAUAGUGAAAAAUGGGCAGGGGAUGAAAGUGGAAUUGCUAUUUCUGUCGUUUCUGGAGAUUUUCUUGGAACUGGUUCCACUGAGGAUAGUAGCCCUCCAGAAUCUGGGUUAAAUGGUGGUAAAAUUGUACAAAAUCCAAAAAUGACAGUAGAUCAACUGGAUGAUGAAUCAUGUGAGCAGAAGAUAAAGAAUGGGAUGAAACCCAGUGAUUGUGGUCAGAGGGAGCAGACUGAUUGCUCGAUUGAGGCAAAUGGUGUUAAUCUUAUCCAGACCGAUGAUCCACAAGAUGGUGAAGUUGUCUUGAAAUCUUUUGUAUCCCAAGGGGAUAAAAAACAACCGGUGGAUCUUGUAUCUGACGAAAGGAUAAAAAAUAUUACAAAAUUGAAACCACCACUAGCAUAUCUAUUAUCUGCUAUAUCUGAUACUGGAAUUGUUGGUCUCCUGUCUUUACUAACAGCUGUAUUGCUGCAAGCAAACAAUAGAUUAUCAUCCGAACAGGCUUCAUAUAUCCUUCCGUCUAACUUUGAAGAUGUUGCUACUGGUGUGCUGAAGGUGUUAAAUAAUCUAGCCUCUUUGGAUCUCAAAUUUAUGCAGCGAGUGCUAGCUAGACCAGACCUAAAAAUGGAGUUCUUCCAUUUAAUGAGUUUCCUUCUCUCGCAUUGCUCAAGCAAGUGGACAGCUCCUAGUGAUCCGAUUGGUCUUCUGCUUCUCGAAUCUCUAUCCAUUCUUGGGCAUUUUGCUUUGUUCCAUCCUGAGAAUCAAGAAGUCCUUCGCUGGGGGAAGAGUCCAACUAUACUCCACAAGGUGUGCGACCUGCCGUUUGUGCUCUUCAGCGACCCCGAAUUGAUGCCAGUGUUGGCUAGUACCCUGGUUGCUGCCUGUUAUGGGUGUGAACAGAACAAGUCUGUUGUUCAGCAAGAGCUAAGUAUAGAUAUGCUGCUUUCAUUAUUGAGAUCCUGCAAAAAUAAUCCACUAGUACCAGCUUUACAAUCGACUUCAACUCAAGAGAACGAGGAAUCUAAUGAAUCUAACCCAAAUGGUCCCGAGUCUAGAAAACCUCAAACGGAUGGUACCAUUAGAACCACCCGCAACGUCGGCAGAAUGACAAAAACUUCCUUAGGAAGACCUGGAGGAGGUUCCUCAGGAAAUAGCAAUAGAAGUAACAAAACAAGAAACCACAGAGAUAAUAGAUCAGCUAAAGCAUCUGAUGAAAUAGCUUUGAAGCACAAUCAACCAGCAAUAGAAGUUGCAUCUGUGAUGUUGCAUUAUAGAUUCCCUAGCAGUUUUCUUGAUAGAGCAGAGCAGUUCUUUUCAACUGGCAUUUCCACUGCUGUAGAUGGAUAAAUUGAGAAGGCUUGAUGUGGGAUUUACCUGCCUUGCUUUCAAGCCAUGAUAUGAAUGUAAUCAAGGAACAACUAACAAGUUACAAGAACUUUGAAGGCAGUUAAGCAUACCAACAAGUUCAAAAGGGUGGAAGCCACAUUUGACAUUCCCCAGUUCACAAUCAUUCUCCUCUUACUAAUUUCCACCUUCUCCAUCGGAAGGAUGAUGCAGAAAAAUAAUAAAAAGAAGCAGCGGCGGCGGUUGAAGCUUACCAAAACUAGCGGUUGUGUUUCUUUGUUAGGGGCUGACGCAUUUGAAAUCGCUUUAUAUAUGUGUUUGAAAUACAAAUUAUUUCUCUU